rnacentral:rRNA from 1 species
GUGCCAGCAGCCGCGGUAAUUCCAGCUCCAAUAGCGUAUAUUAAAGUUGUUGUGGUUAAAAAGCUCGUAGUUGAACCUUGGGCCUGGCUGGCCGGUCCGCCUCACCGCGUGCACUGGUCCGGCCGGGCCUUUCCCUCUGUGGAACCCCAUACCCUUCACUGGACGUGGCGGGGAAACAGGACAUUUACUUUGAAAAAAUUAGAGUGCUCCAGGCAGGCCUAUGCUCGAAUACAUUAGCAUGGAAUAAUAAAAUAGGACGCGCGGUUCUAUUUUGUUGGUUUAUAGGACCGCCGUAAUGAUUAAUAGGGACAGUCGGGGGCAUCAGUAUUCAACUGUCAGAGGUGAAAUUCUUGGAUCAGUUGAAGACUAACUACUGCGAAAGCAUUUGCCAAGGAUGUUUUCAUUAAUCAGGAACGAAAGUUAGGGGAUCGAAGACGAUCAGAUACCGUCGUAGUCUUAACCAUAAACUAUGCCGACUAGGGAUCGGACGGUGUUAUUCAUGACCCGUUCGGCACCUUACGAGAAAUCAAAGUGCUUGGGCUCCAGGGGGAGUAUGGUCGCAAGGCUGAAACUUAAAGAAAUUGACGGGAAGGGCACCACCAGGGGUGGAGCCUGCGGCUUAAUUUGACUCAACACGGGGAAACUCACCAGGUCCAGACACAAUAAGGAUUGACAGAUUGAGAGCUCUUUCUUGAUUUUGUGGGUGGUGGUGCAUGGCCGUUCUUAGAUGGUGGGGUGACU